AAAACCUUUCUUUAUGGAAGUAGCUUUUAUUUUUUUUUAAGAUUUAUUUUAUUUUUAAUUUUUGAAAUGAGAACAUCUCUCACCAUCCUCUUGCAUGAUCCCCUUUACUGUGAGGGAGGUAAAAGGUACAACGUGCUGGUUUUCAUUAGUAGUGAGUAUGAGUGUGGUUAGGCAUAUUAUGGUUCAUAUAUAGACAACAAUUUACACUCCGCUACACAGAGCAUGUACUCAGAUGUUGUACACAUAUGUAACAAUGCUGUCUUGGCCCCAAAUUGCUUCCAGGUUAGGUCGUCAUUUCAAGCCCAUUUUCUCUGUGUUUUUUCUCUGUUGCAUUUUAUUGGCCUGGUAGAGAUUAGCAACUAAUCCAGCCUGAUUUUAGCAUCUUCUGCACUUGUUUGUUCCAAUUUUUGUACCCCCUGAACUCUUCCUCCCGCAUACAAUUUAUUCCCACACAUGGCAGGCAUGCUUUCUCAUGAAUUAUUUAUAUAGCUUUGGAAACUUCUGCUUUUCAAAUAAUGAGAGAAGAAAAUGUUUCUAGUGUAGGAGUCAUAAUAAGGGAGAAAUCCAGGCAGGUUGGUGUUCAAGAAGAUGGUAAAAUGCCCCAAGUUAAAAAUAAUACAUUGCUUUUGAAAGGCUGAGGAAACAUCACAAUGGCCUUUCAAAGCAAUCAUCUACCUUCAGAAACACUGCUGAGUGGCUAAAAUUAGGAGUUGAUAUCAAGCAAUGACUACAGAAGCUUUCAUUUCCCCAGUUUCUCCCAAAGGUUGGGUGGAAUAAACUCCCCCAUUGUCAAAUAUACCAAUGGCAGCCUUUGCCACCUACUUGCAUGGAGGGAGAAGCUACCCCUUCCUCUCCGGAGCUGAAAUGAUACAGCUUUACUAACAAAACCAAAAUUAAUAGCAUAUACUGCAAGAAAAUACACUAUGUGACACAGCUUCUGUGAUGCUUUGAUCUUUUAUUAUUCUGAGAAACAGAGGUAGGCUGUGCUUUCACUUCCAAAACACAGACUAAUACACAAAGCAGGAAAUACAAUAUCUAAUAAAGAUAUCUCAUUUAGACAGAAACUCGGUAAGAGUUUAAAAAAAUAAUUCAAUUUAAGAUGUGUUUUGAAAACAGGAAAGACACUGAUGGUAAUACUGAGGAAAAAAGAAUAUGCUAGCCCAGGGAAGGAGCAAGGAAUAAAGGAAAUACUCAUUUUGCAUAGGCUUCAUCCCAAGAUGGGAUAGGGAGGGUAGGAAACAUAACCUCAUGAGGACAUUUUAUUGUCUGCAGUCAGGAGCAGGAGGAGCCAGCUGCUGCCUCUGUGACACGCUAGCAGGCUGGCUGUGAGCAGGGAUGUGUUAUUGCCCCAGCACAGGGGAGCAGACGCCGUGGCCAGCGCCGUGGCCAGCGGCUCCUGUGACACACACCUCCUGUCACUGGCUCUGAUAGUCGGUGGUGUAGCUCUUGAUGUAGUUUCUGGUGGGUUGUCAUAGCAACAAGGAAACAGGCAGCUGAAAACCAAGAGCACCAGCCUGCCCUGCCUGCCCACCUGCCUGGAGGGAUGGGGGAAGCAGGGCAUGGGGCCUGGCAGAUGGGGACUGGGGGUGACCCCACCUCUAGGGGCAUGGCAUCCUCUGCAUGGGGGGUCUGAAUGCUGUUGCUCACAGACCCACUGACUUCUCCAUCCUAUCCUUCAGGCACCCACAAAGUCAAUGAGAAUUUGAGAUGCAGAGUGAACACAGGACCAGAAAAUGGAAAAUAGAAAGACUGUGGCCAUGAAAUAAAGAAGUGAAGAGGAUUUUACACAAACACUAAAAUAUUUGGUACUUCUAAAUAUGUACUCCUUACUUAAAGGAAGCAAGCCCUGAAGUCCUCUCAUAUAUACUUCCCAUAGGUGAAAUCCAUCCUUCCUUAAUCCGAACCCCAGCUGACUUUGAGGUAGAUCAUGUAGUGGGGCUGAACCUACCUGGACACCCACUGCCCACCAAAGCCACUCUGUCUGGAGGAGAGAAAAAGUAACAAAAGGCUGGUGAGUCGAGAUAUGGGUGGGGAGAGAUCAUUCAGCAGUUACGGUCAUGGGCAAAACAGGUUUGAUUUGGGAAAAUAGGUUUAAUUUAUUACCAAUCAAAUCAAAGUAGGAUAAUGAGAAAUAAAAUCAAUUCUUAAC